rnacentral:lncRNA from 1 species
UAGGAAGGACAGGGACUAUUGCUUGUCUUGGGAACGACUUGUGUCCCGGUCCUGAUACACUCCUUGUUCAUUAAUCUACAUGAGAUCGGCCAAGUCAUUGAGCCUCUCUUAUAACUCAGUUUCCAUAAAACAGAAAUGGUAAAGGUACCCCACUGAAAUGCUAAUGUUCAUUUGUAUAUUCUUUGCCUAACACGUAGAGAGAGUUCAAACAGUGGUUUUAAAAUAAACAACUAAAGUUAUCCAAUGAAAGGUAGCAGAGGAAGGAUGCUACAGGAGCUCAGAAAAGGCAACGAAGGCCAGAGUCUGCAGGGAUUUCCUGGAGGACGUGGAGCUUGUCCCUGCGUCUUUAACAAUAGGCAGAAUUUUAAUCUACUGGAGAAGCAUUUCAAGUAGCGGGAAAUGGAAUGAGCAGAGACAGAGGCAGAAAUACAGAGUUGAAAGAACUCUUUCAACGUGUCGCCAGUGAGUGACGACUUUCUCAGUGUGGGAGUAAAAGAAUUUACCAAGACAGUGGUAGAUAAAGAAAGACAGAUUAAAGAAAGUAUGAAAGUUCGUUGCCAGGGAGCAGCGGGCCGACUCAGCAGAGGAGGAGCUCAUUGCUAGGAAACAAAGGCUUGUUGAGAAUUUUAUAGACUGGAACUUGGAGUGAUUGAUAACACCAGGUAGCAGGGAGUUAACUUGCUUUUUUUUUUUCUUUCUUUCUUUUUUUUUUUUUUUUUUUGUCAGCUGAAGUGUUUCAGAAAUUGAGGCAUUUGAAGUAUUUCUCUGCAUAGCAGCUGUGCCCUUCAAUCAAACCCCUCAUUGUGAACACCAGACGUGUCUUCUCCCUACCGCACAAGGCUGACAAACUGUAUACCUCCGGGGAGCCCCGCCCACAUUGCAUGCGGUAGAACAUGAAGAGCAUGUACAAAAGGACAGAAAACAUAAACUCAUGCCUGGCAGAGAGCUUCUACUCUGAAGAAACAACAACCGAAGUGUCACAGGAUGAAUCUAUGCUAUUUGGAGAGGGAGUAUACAUUUAACUUGAAGCAAUCCCUGGAAGAAAAAUUCUACUAGCAGAGAUGCUCUGAGCAGAGAGAAAGCCUGUCUAUAUAGUGAAAGAAUGAAACCAAUACAUUGAAAAAAACUGAGAAGAGAAAGAGGUAGAGACUUCAUCUGAUACAAGCAUGCUUGAAACAAGAGACACCUGUAUGAUUCCAUCUUCCCAGGAGCUAGCAGGCAGUUCUUGUUGAGUUCAAGCCAGUUGAGACCAUCAACCCUUCAACUGAGCCUGCAUGGGUGCGUAAAGUGUGACCUUUUGAUGUCAAAGGGCCAAAACCUGCACCCUCCUUUCAUGCUAAUUCAACCAUUUUCUGAACAUGCAUCCUAUGAAGAGCCAUGUAGCUCAAUUAUGCUUGUGCAGAAACCCUGAUUACCUCACCUUUCCCACCUGCCAAUCACCUUUACCCAUACUUCACACCAUCCUGCUUUCUAUCCCGCUAAUUACCCCUAAGCCCUGUUUUCAGGGAGGUGGAUUUGCGAUUUGUUCUCCUUCUCCUUGCUCAGCAGCCUGGUAA